GAUGAACGCUGGCGGCGUGCCUAAUACAUGCAAGUCGAGCGAACAGAUGAGGAGCUUGCUCCUCUGACGUUAGCGGCGGACGGGUGAGUAACACGUGGAUAACCUACCUAUAAGACUGGGAUAACUACGGGAAACCGGAGCUAAUACCGGAUAAUAUAUUGAACCGCAUGGUUCAAUAGUGAAAGACGGUUUUGCUGUCACUUAUAGAUGGAUCCGCGCCGCAUUAGCUAGUUGGUAAGGUAACGGCUUACCACGGGAACGAUGCGUAGCCGACCUGAGAGGGUGAUCGGCCACACUGGAACUGAGACACGGUCCAGACUCCUACGGGAGGCAGCAGUAGGGAAUCUUCCGCAAUGGACGAAAGCCUGACGGAGCAACGCCGCGUGAGUGAUGAAGGUCUUCGGAUCGUAAAACUCUGUUAUUAGGGAAGAACAAAUGUGUAAGUAACUAUGCACGUCUUGACGGUACCUAAUCAGAAAGCCACGGCUAACUACGUG
rnacentral:rRNA from 1 species